AUCUGAAAGGAGUGGAAGCAUAAAAUGAAGCAUGAGGUAUCUGUAACAAAGAUACAUGGGUAAAUUAACAGCAGUAAUGUAAAAAAGACUGAGGGAGCAGCAAUGUGGAGAGGGAAGGAAAGGAAGAUGUACAGGAACAAUCAUACAAUCAUCAAAUUUAAAUUUUAUAAACCUAAACAUAAUAUCUACAACCUUUAAGGUUAAGUUUUGUUAAAUUGUCUCUUCUAAGUUUUGUAUUUUUACAAUUUUCGCCGUAGAGAAAAAAAACAUUAAUAGUUACCAAAGGAAUAAAAGACACAUGGUUUGUCACACAUCCGCAAAUAGCCCCUUAUGAAAUCUGGAACACUAAUUUCAUAACGACAUUCAAUAAACGUAAAAUUGUCCCACUGAGUGUAGGUACUGUUUUCCCACAACGGACACCACUGCAUUGGCAUCUAGCAGAAAUUGUAAGCUAUUUGGAAUGUUACUAAACCUACUGGGACUAAGAUUUUCAAACUUUCGUCUUUCAAAUUAAAAUUAAAAACUUAUUCACUCUGGGCAAUUCGGGUACUCUACGGAAAUUCAAGUACUCUAGUUUUAAAUAAGAUUUUUAAAAAAUGCAAUCCAAGUACCCUUUCCUCUAAACUUCUGUUUGGCCAAGCCACGACCUCCACCUAUCCAAUCUUUUCUGCUUAGAUAAGAACAAUUUUCGUAGUGCUAGGCAACAGGCGUGAUAUGACAAACCUAACCAGACUUCAAAACUUUUCCACAGAUAAGGUAAACAAGAUAUACUUAGCACCACACCCAUUUAAAUACACAAGCAGCCCUGCGCACCCCCAGCCAACACCACACCCCCUCCAAACCUCCAGCUGGUCAGGAAACAUUGUCUUUACAAUCAAGAUAACGAUCGGGCUCAGGGUGUUCAGCCAUUCCUCACCUACAGGCUGGCCUAAGCUCUAUUCUCCAAAGCCAUCACCACCAGAAUUGGAACGUUCUGUUAGGAAUCCGUCAAACGUCCAAACACCCCGACCAUCCUCGCCCGAGUUUUCUGCAACCAAAAAUCUGUUUUGGCUACUGAGCAUGCUCAGACUUAAGACGGGCGCGCCACAUGGGAGUUUUCAAAGCUUAGGCUCCAAACUCCACGUAAUAACAGCGGCGGAGAAGGAGAGGGUAAAGGGGGAGGAGAAAGGGAAGAGACUGGAAUAUUAAUUUGGGCCCUGAUGUUGAAGUAUAGGGCCUGGCCAGCGGCUGAAUAUGGUGAAGGCAAAAAGACGCUACUUUGGCGUUCUGUUAGCAGCACAGAGAAGUUUAACAAGUAGAAGAAAUCCUUGCAGCGGUGAAAACUGACAUGGCAAGUGGCGGAAAGCAGGUCUAACUACCAGCUGAUUGCAGCAGCCGGUCACAAUUGCCCCGAGUGUCAUUCCCACCGAUAAGCAAGGAUCCUUAUCUUUGAAACACAAAGCGACCGCGGCACGGAUUCAUCCAGCCGGUGGACAGCUUCGCAGUGCGGAAGCCCAGGCUGCUCCCCCGAGCACCGCAGUCCUAUCAGGGUUUACUGUAGCUCAGAAGGCUCUGCCUACGUGACUACUGCCUACCCCACUGUGAGAACUGGAAGAACGUGAUGAUGGUAGGAGUCAGCCAGCAUAGAAGCAUGAGUGAAUGAUAUCCCAGAGAUCUGCUGAGGAUCCUGGUAGCCGCCUCAAAGGCUUGUUCUCCCUUCCUCAGACCAUUAUGGCACAUGGACAUUAGAGGAAGAAAUGGUGGUUUGCAUGACUCCUCCAGCAGAGUCCUUGGAAACAAUAAAGCUUCCUUU